rnacentral:rRNA from 1 species
UAGGAUUCCCUUAGUAGCGGCGAGCGAACAGGGAAGAGCCCAGCACCGAAUCCCGCGGCCGGCAUCGGACGCCGGGAAAUGUGGUGUUAGGGAGGGUCCGCUUAUCUCGGGCUCGCACGACGCGUCCAAGUCCUUCUUGAACGGGGCCAUCUACCCAGAGAGGGUGCCAGGCCCGUAGAGACCGUCGUCGAGUUCGAGAGGACCUCUCCUCAGAGUCGGGUUGCUUGAGAGUGCAGCUCUAAGCGGGUGGUAAACUCCAUCUAAGGCUAAAUAUGACCACGAGACCGAUAGCGAACAAGUACCGUGAGGGAAAGUUGAAAAGAACUUUGAAGAGAGAGUUCAAUAGUACGUGAAACCGUUCAGGGGUAAACCUGAGAAACCCGAAAGUUCGAACGGGGAGAUUCAACUGCCUCUCGGAACGCGCGGCGAGCGGCGCGCAAGUCGACGGCCGGACGUUCGCGUCCGGACGCGCGGCGCGUCGCCGUCCGCCGACGAAGGCGUGCACUUCUCCCCCAGUAGGACGUCGCGACCCGUUGGGCGUCGGUCGAAGGCCCGGGGUGGUGUCCGGGGCGCUUUUCGCGCUCCGAACCCCCGGUCGCCCGGCCGGCUCGCUCGACGGUAUCGAAAACAGUUGAGGCGUUGGGUCGCGAUUAGAACGCGUCCGAUCCGUCGCAAGCGCGCUCGGAGCAUCCCGAACGUCGGACUUUAGCGCCGACCUCGGGCCCGCGGCGGCUGUUGGCGACGGCGCUCUCGGACAUUAGGCCCGCAACGCGCCCGUCUGCGACGCUCAUGCUUUGGGUACUUUCAGGACCCGUCUUGAAACACGGACCAAGGAGUCUAGCGCGUGCGCGAGUCACUGGGACUCAGACUAAACCCAAAGGCGCAAUGAAAGUGAAGGUCCGCCUCGCGCGGACUCAGGGAAGAUCGGCGCGCCUCGGCGCGCCGCGCACUCCCGGGGCGUCUCGUUCUCAUCGCGAGAAGAGGCGCACCUAGAGCGUACGCGCUGGGACCCGAAAGAUGGUGAACUAUGCCUGGUCAGGACGAAGUCAGGGGAAACCCUGAUGGAGGUCCGUAGCGAUUCUGACGUGCAAAUCGAUCGUCGGAACUGGGUAUAGGGGCGAAAGACUAAUCGAACCAUCUAGUAGCUGGUUCCCUCCGAAGUUUCCCUCAGGAUAGCUGGCGCUCGUCUUUACGAGUUUCAUCCGGUAAAGCGAAUGAUUAGAGGCAUUGGGGUCGAAACGGCCUCAACCUAUUCUCAAACUUUAAAUGGGUGAGAUCUCCGGCUUGCUCGAACGUUUGAAUGAAGCCGCGAGACUAACUUAAACAGAAUCAGAG